AAUGUUGUUCCGAUUUUGGUUCUUGUGAACGUUGACAUCGAUUCGUUCCAAAUUUACACGCUCGGGGCGUAAUAGAACAAUAUAAUUAGGCUUUACUCUUUAUUCGAUUGAAAGAGAAAAAGUACUCGUUGCAAAGUUUUACUGUUAGGGCGGAACUAAGUAAUCUAAUGUUGCUUCGGUUUUGGUUCUUGAACGUUGACAUCGAUUCGUUCCAAAUUUACACUCCCUGGGCAUAAUAGAACAAUAUAAUUAGGUUUUACGCUUUGUUCGAUAGAAUGAGAAAAAGUACUCAUUGCAAAGUUAUACUGCUAGGGCGCGACUGGGUAGUCUAAGGUUGUUCCGGCUUUUGUUCUUUUGAACGUUGACAUCGAUUCGUUCCAAAUUUACACUCUCGCGGCAUAAUAGAACAAUAUAAUUAGGUUUUACGCUUUGUUAGAUAGAAUGAGAAAAGUACUCGUUGCAAAGUUAUACUGUUUGGGCGCAACUGAGUAUUCUAAUGUUGUUCCUGUUUUGGUUAUUGUGAACGUUGACAUCGAUUCGUUCCAAAUUUACACUCUCAAGGAAUAAUAGAACAAUAUAAUUAGGUUUUACGCUUUCUUCGAUAAAAUGAGAAAAAGUACUCGUUGCAAAGUUAUACUGUUAGGGUGCAACUGAGUAGUCUAGUUUUGUUCCGAUUUUGGUUUUUGUGAACGUUGACAAUGAUUCGUUCCAAAUUUACUCUCUCGGGGCAUAAUAGAACAAUAUAAUUAGGUUUUACUCUUUGUUUGAUAGAAUGAGAAAAAGUACUCGUUGCAAAGUUAUACUGUUAGGGCGCAACUGAGUAGUCUAAUGUUCUUCCGGUUUUUGUUCUUCUGAACAUUGACAUCGAUUCGUUCCAAAUUUACACUCUCGAGGCAUAAUAAAACGAUAUAAUUAGGUUUUACUUUUUGUUCGAUAGAAUGAGAAAAAGUACUCGUUGCAAAGUUAUACUGUUAGGGCGCAACUGAGUAGUCUAAUGUUGUUCUGGUUUUCGUUCUUGUGAACGU
rnacentral:lncRNA from 1 species